CGCCCAGUGUCUUUCCCUGUCCAACAUCCUGCCUCGCCUCUCUACGGCCUCCGCUCCACCUAGCCAGCACGCUAUUCCGUUCGGCGGCCGCGCGGCUGACUGGCACACAAUCUGCCAGCCGAGAAGCUCGCACACUCCGCGUCAUGCUCAUCUCCACCACGACCAACCCUAUGCUCUACUCGCAGCCGUGGACUGCGUUCCACCUCGCCGGAGCACCAUCUAUGUUCAGGAACGAAGCCACCACUGCCUACCAUAGGACACACCCUAUUUUCACACUUCCUCCAAUUUGCCAAACUGUGUUUACCAAAUGAACUUCUUACUUAUAAUGCGUUGCUUCCAUACAAUUAUUUUAGCGCACAUCUUCAUGUCUUGGUUUAUUCCGUCAAUUCACAUAUCUUCAGAUUUGUUGAUAUAGUACACUUUUUAUUUGCAGUGGAGCCGCAGUAAUGAAGCAGACAAUAUGCUCAAGGUUGUGUGCCGACUUUGAGGCAGAUAAGCGUUGGCGAGACAUAUAUAUGUGGCAUGGAGUCACAUGGAUCUACCUCACAAUGAAGACGACCACACCCGAAAUGCAGGGAAGUAGAUCUCUAGUCUUUAGGAAACAUACAGUAUGAGCUUAGGAAGCAUUGUACUAUUGACGACCUGUUGGAAAUAUAUUGUAUGGAAGGGCGAACAAUGGAAACAAAUUUAUACUUA